CGAGCUGGCCGGGCAGUCGCUGUCUCAUUUCUCUGAAAUGGGGUGGAGGAAAGUCCGGGCUCCAUAGGGUAAGGCGCCAGGUAACGCCUGGGGGGCGUGAGCCUACGGAAAGUGCAGCAGAGAGUAGACCGCCUAAGUCUACUCCGGCAACGGAGUAGACCGGUAAGGGUGAAAGGGUGCGGUAAGAGCGCACCGCGUGACUGGUAACAGUUCAUGGCACGGUAAACCCCGCCUGGAGCAAGGCCAAAUAGGGAUUCGAUGGUGUGACCCGCACUGAAUCCGGGUAGGCUGCUAGAGGUGCAUGGUGACAUGCAUCCCAGAUGAAUGACUGUCAGACCUGUUCGCAGGUGCUACAGAACCCGGCUUAUAGGCCAGCUCGCCAC
rnacentral:RNase_P_RNA from 2 species